CUUUCCGCCUGCUUUGACCGAGUCAUCCUAGGAUCACACAUUGAUCAAUUCUUAUCCGAGGUACAAAGUACCGCAAGUAAGUUACGCAGAGUAACGCAGGUACAAAUUGCCAACACUAGAUGAGAGUAUUUAGUAUACGGAUAUAUAAGUGACUAAACCAAGUGACCAAACCUCCGAUCACUGUGUUCAGGGAGUUUAUCAUUGUCAAGUUAAUCUAAGAAAUGGCGAAAACAUGGACAGUUGUUAGAUUCGAAGACGAAGAUGUUGUAGAAGCAGUUCC